rnacentral:rRNA from 1 species
GAUGAACGCUGACAGAAUGCUUAACACAUGCAGGUCGAUGGGGAAGUGGUGCUUGCACCAUGGUAACCAUGGCGGACGGGUGAGUAACGCGUAAGGAACUUACCUGCGGGACCGGGAUAACAGCAGGAAACUGCUGACAAGACCGGAUAAGGUCAUUAAGCUGCAUAGCUUAGUGAUGAAAGGAGACGCCUGCGGAGAGCCUUGCGUCCUAUUAGCUAGUUGGAGGGGUAACGGCCCACCAAGGCGAAGAUAGGUAGCCGGCCUGAGAGGGUGGACGGCCACAAGGGGACUGAGAUACGGCCCUUACUCCUACGGGAGGCAGCAGUGGGGAAUAUUGGACAAUGGGGGCAACCCUGAUCCAGCAAUUCUGUGUGCACGAAGACGGUUUUCGGAUUGUAAAGUGCUUUCAGCAGGGAAGAAGGAAGUGACGGUACCUGCAGAAGAAGCGACGGCUAAAUACGUG